rnacentral:rRNA from 1 species
GACGAACGCUGGCGGCGUGCUUAACACAUGCAAGUCGAACGGUGAAGCGCCUUCCUUUUUGGUGGGUGUGGAUGAGUGGCGAACGGGUGAGUAACACGUGAGUAACCUGCCCCCUUCUUCUGGAUAACCGCAUGAAAGUGUGGCUAAUACGGGAUAUUCUGGGUCUGUCGCAUGAUGGGUCUGGGAAAGAUAUUGUUUCGGUGGGGGAUGGGCUCGCGGCCUAUCAGCUUGUUGGUGGGGUGAUGGCCUACCAAGGCGGGGACGGGUAGCCGGCCUGAGAGGGUGGACGGUCACACUGGGACUGAGACACGGCCCAGACUCCUACGGGAGGCAGCAGUGGGGAAUAUUGCACAAUGGGCGCAAGCCUGAUGCAGCGACGCCGCGGGAGGGAUGGAGGCCUUCGGGUUGUGAACCUCUUUCGCCAGUGAAGCAGGCCUGCCUCGUUUGUGGGUGGGUUGACGGUAGCUGGAGAAGAAGCGCCGGCUAACUACGUG